ACGUGGCCGCCUGCGCGGCCACAACCCUCUCCCCGCGACGUAAUUAAACUAAUCCCCGCUUAACCCAAAUCUUCCCCUCCUAAUCCCUUUCGCCGCGCUCCGUUCCCUCCCUCCUCUCGUCCCCUUCGCCAAAAAAGCCGAACUCCACUGCGCCAAUUUUCCUGCCUUUUCUACCCCCCACUUGGAAUUCUGGAAACAUCGAUUCGAUCCUUCUAGACCCUUCUCCGCCCCCGUUUUAAAGUGCGCCGGCCUCCCACCCGUCGCUUCAUCGCUCGCGGUCGCAGUCGCAGUCGCCCACACCCUUGCCGCACCAUGGCUGGAACCCGCGGCGGAUUCGAGUUAUUGCACAUGGUGGCACCAAGCAUGAGGCAACAACUGCAUUACUUGCAAGAAAGGCACAAGUAAGACCUCUCACAAGUCUCUAACACCUAGGCCAGAAAGCUCCUCACCCAUCAGUUGCCUACAACCAUGCAAAAGAGUAAUCUCAGCAGUUCAAGAAGUCCCAAUCUAUAUGCCACUACAGCUCUCUUCUGUCGACAUGGUUUGAGACAGGCCAAACUUAUUUGUUAAAGAAACUUAGGAAUACUAUUAAAAUAAAUCUGACAGUGAAUAUUCUAAUUAUAUUCCUAAAAUUUUCCUUCAAGUAUUUAAGCAUCUUUUGGUGGUUCUUAUACAAUUCCAUGUGACAUUUAAAUUGUUGAUAAACUACUUUCUUGAUAAAUCUGACAGUGAAUAUUCUGAUUAUAUUCCUAAAGUUUUCCUUCAAGUAUUUAAGCAUCUUUUGGUGGUUCUUAUACAAUUCCAUGUGGCAUUUAAAUUGUUGAUAAACUACUUUCUUGAUGAAUUUUAUAUUAAUGUAUGAUCAAUUUCCAUUGCAGAAUCAUUAGAUGAUUACUUGUGGCUUUCUUGCAAGUUGUGCAGUUGCUGCCUCAAGCUUGCUGCCUCCCUCUGCCAAAUCUAUCAGCAAAAAAAGAAAAUCAUGUCAGUUUCCUUGAACUAUAUACAUAUGAUUAAUCUAGAAACGCAGUAUGUUGCCAAAAAUCACACACAACUCAAUCACAUAUGCAUUUGAGAUGAGGUAAAAUGCUAUCUGAUUCACAUAGUUCCAAUAUCUCAAGAUGUGGGAUAUGCGUAGCACAAGUGCAUCAGAGUGUUAUAGUUGUUCAGUCUUCAGUACUUAUUAUUCUAGAUUAAUUUGGACCAACUUGUCAAUUCAGCUGACACUUGUUUUUGUCUAGUGCUCCAGUAGCUUGGUUGUUUCAUCAUCAUUAGACUUUUAAACCUUUGGUCCUAAACUCCUAGCUGAAAAAUUUGCACACUGAACUUCCCUGUGUUCUAAGGAAAAAAAAAAUCUAGACAUAACCUUGCUGAUCUGUAUUAUGGACUGGCCAUUGGAGUGCAUAAUGCAUAACUGCUGAUCACUUUGUUGGCACAAAACUUACGCAUAGACAUAGGAGGUACUUAUGUAUAAUUGUAUCUUUAAUCAGGACUUUGUUUUCAACCAUUUUGUUGAUAUAACAGUUAUACUGUAGUAAUGAUGAGUACAGUCUCCAAUGUAAACUCAGGGCAAAUCAGAUUUAUCCCUUUUUGGUGCUUGGUAUCUUUUUGUAUUUUUCAUGAGCGAUGGCAUUUUUGAACCCAAAAUAGAGGGAAAGAGAAGGAUCUCUGUGGGGGCAUGCUAUGUACUACAGUUCUUUGAGACCAUGUAGGUGUGGAUGCUUGUUUUGACCUUUUCCUUAACAUAUAGAAAGAAUAAACAUUAAAUAAAUGAUGACAUGGAAAUGAAAUUCAUAAAGGAGUACAUAAGCUAGUACUCCUGAAAAUAUCACUUCAUAUUCCCCCAUGAUUCAGUAACAUGAAUAUCAUACCAUCAGCAGCAGUGAAAUUUUUAUGCGUAGACGGUUUGUUUCUUAAGGUAUAUAUUUUUUAUGUUUACAAUUGUCUGUCGAGUUUACUGGUCAAUUGAGCAACAACGGUACUUUUAACUGUUAAUAUCACUUGGUUUGCUAUGUAUCCUUGUUGUUCUGGCUUUGUUGCUUUACAGCCAUUCUGCUUACGCUAUUGGCAUCUGUUAUUUAGAAAACCAUUUUCUAACAGUUUUUAGAUUUCCUUUCGAGUCUCCAACUGUUUUUAACCUCCAAGUUGCCACAUAAUGCAUAAAUAUACCGAGUAAGUUUGCCCCCCUCUGAAAUAUGGAUGUUAGAUACUCAGACAGGUUCAGUAUGUGUUGGGUGUUGUUUUCUGAGUUUGUGGUUGUCAUAAGAUGCAGCGAAAUUACUGCGCUGUAUCUUGGACCAAUGCAAUCAGCGAAGUCCUUAUCGUGCCAAAAGGAUGUGCAUGGAUUUUCCAUCAUUUGCAAACUUGAGGAUGGCCUGCCCUGAUGCCCUCAGAUGCUGAUGAAGUGUGUGGUUCAUGAAAACGUGAGAAGCUAAGUAGUGGAGUAACGGGAGUGAGUACCAGUGUGGCCACUAUGAAGAAAGUUAAUUACUGAGAAAUUAAGACUUGAGCAUGUUAUUUUCAAGCAACUUGUACAGCAUUAUAUUGCACUACCAUCAAAUGCUUCUCCUGCCUAUACAAUACUCUGCAAGCUCUUGUAUUGUACACUGUUUUAUCUUGUUUAAAGUAUGCUUGUUUUUGCUUA